rnacentral:tRNA from 1 species
GGAGAGUUGGCAGAGUGGUAAUGCAGCGGAUUGCUAAUCCGUCACCGUCUAUUUCGGUGCACAGGUUCAAAUCCUGUACUCUCCGCCC